rnacentral:rRNA from 1 species
UGCAAGUCGAGGGGCAGCAUCAUCAAAGCUUGCUUUGAUGGAUGGCGACCGGCGCACGGGUGAGUAACACGUAUCCAACCUGCCGACAACACUGGGAUAGCCUUUCGAAAGAAAGAUUAAUACCGGAUGGCAUAGUUUUCCCGCAUGGGAUAAUUAUUAAAGAAUUUCGGUUGUCGAUGGGGAUGCGUUCCAUUAGGCAGUUGGCGGGGUAACGGCCCACCAAACCUACGAUGGAUAGGGGUUCUGAGAGGAAGGUCCCCCACAUUGGAACUGAGACACGGUCCAAACUCCUACGGGAGGCAGCAGUGAGGAAUAUUGGUCAAUGGACGAGAGUCUGAACCAGCCAAGUAGCGUGAAGGAUGACUGCCCUAUGGGUUGUAAACUUCUUUUAUACGGGAAUAAAGUGAGCCACGUGUGGCUUUUUGUAUGUACCGUACGAAUAAGGAUCGGCUAACUCCGUGCCAGCAGCCGCGGUAAUACGGAGGAUUCGAGCGUUAUCCGGAUUUAUUGGGUUUAAAGGGAGCGUAGGCGGGUUGUUAAGUCAGUUGUGAAAGUUUGCGGCUCAACCGUAAAAUUGCAGUUGAUACUGGCGACCUUGAGUGCAACAGAGGUAGGCGGAAUUCGUGGUGUAGCGGUGAAAUGCUUAGAUAUCACGAAGAACUCCGAUUGCGAAGGCAGCUUACUGGAUUGUAACUGACGCUGAUGCUCG